rnacentral:rRNA from 2 species
GCAUCCGUAGCCGGCUGUUCAAGUUUCCGGUUAAAUCCACACGCUUAACGUAUGGGCUGCCGGAAAUACUGUUCAGCUAGGGAGUGGGAGAGGUGGACGGUACUCGGUAGGAAGGGGUAAAAUCCUUUGAUCUAUUGAUGACCACCUGUGGCGAAGGCGGUCCACCAGAACACGUUCGACGGUGAGGGAUGAAAGCUGGGGGAGCAAACCGGAUUAGAUACCCGGGUAGUCCCAGCUGUAAACGAUGCAGACUCGGUGAUGCAUUGGCUUGUGGCCAGUGCAGUGCCGCAGGGAAGCCGUUAAGUUUGCCGCCUGGGAAGUACGUACGCAAGUAUGAAACUUAAAGGAAUUGGCGGGGGAGCACAAGCC